CGGCUUUCUCCAUUGAUGGUUCUGUCGGAGGUGACUUCACCAGCUCAAUUGGUCCUCAUGCAUCGUCUCAACCUUGGUUUGAUGCGGCCGGCGGUGAUCCCUCAUCUCCUGGAUCAUGGGACCAAGAUGUACGUCCACACAGCUUUCAAAUUUACGUGUUCGACCGCUACUUCAAGAUUGCACCGAUCGGGCAUUAAGAUUGCGAGUCCAAUUUUCAAGUAUGCGUCUAUCGGGCAUUAAGAUUGACAUUGAUACCAUCAUCAAUAGGUUCGCAUCUAAAAAUCGGAAUUUCUAAUUAAGAGAAGAUUGGUGCAGAUUGCUACAUGGUGGUAGAUUUGUCACCGACCAACACUAUACUCCCUUUUUAAUUAAGGAGCAAUUUCUUCCCUCUCCAAAUUCUACCGGAUGGACGGGAGAGCAAUUCCUACAAUUCUCGAAGACAGGCAUUAUUCGCUAAAUAAAAUAACACUAGCCAUGAGGGCGAAGCGUGUAGAUUUAAAACACACGUCGACAUCUUGGCCGAGUGUCGACAAGAUGAAAUGGCCAAUUUAUCAAUAUUUAUGCUAUGUCCGAGACCGACGAGGCCGGGCGACGUAUCGGCUAAAGCUAACAAGGCUACAGCUAUUCAUUCAUUUCAUUUGUCUAUGACCGACGAGGCUAGACGAAACCAUGGCCGAGUGCCGACAAGGCCAGGUCACUAUACUAUUAACACGUCUAAAAUGGAUGGGAACCGGAUGCACCGUUGCUAGGCACCAACGAGGCAAAAGCAACCAUAAAAUCCAUGUUUGAUGAAGGCCGGGGUCCAUGACUGGGCACCGACGAGGAAAGGUCACCCGCUUCACCAAAUUCUCUCCACACUCCGACGUGGUGGUAGUGUACUGUGACCGGGUUUUGGCGAAACAAAGCAACCCGUUCCACAUUCACUAUAUUCACCGUUAAAUCUGCACCAACCUCAACCUUCGGCGAGCAAACAACUUUGAAGACGACGAUCAUAAAGCGCAGCUUAAUCGGAGGUAUUCCAUAGGCUCGUCCUGUGGAUGUAAUUAACCAGUAGCCUCAUUGCUAGGCGUCGGGAAUCAACGGACUUCACGCAAUCUCCAGUCAGCAUACCUUUUCAUUAAGCAUUCCUCGCGAAGGCAAAAGGCGAACUCCUGCGGGAGCCCUCAUGUAUUUGUAAACAUUCAUGUUAAUGAAUCAUAAUUAAUAAAAUACAGGGUUUCCCUAUUUUCUGUGUGUUCGUUGUUUUGUUUUCAUCAAACAGUUUUAUUCCAAAAUUCAUACACAUAUAGAAAGACAAGCCAUGCUUAAAUGAUAAAAUAACUCACAGUAAAACAGUUAAUAUCUAUAUAGCUAGUCUUCUCAUAAAUUUUAGGCAAAAUUUGAUACAAUACACUUAAAUUUUGUGUAAUUUGCUGGUAGAAAUCUUAAAAAUGUGCCACGGAAAAAAGACACUCUAAAACCUAAUAAUUUGCUAGAUGGCACUUUUGUCUCAAUUGGAGAGAUCAAUUCUUCAAAAAUACGAGAAUGCCCCUAGAGUCAAAAGAUUUUGAGCUAGGGCUGUGGAGUAAAAAUGUAAUAUGAUGUAUAUAUGCUAAUGACGUAAUUGGGGUGAUGGAAAAUUUAGAGUUACAUAAUUUCUAAAAUUUUAUUUUAACACCAUGUUUGAAACUUGGACCAGCAUUUUCUCGUCUUUAUUAAGACUUUAUCUCUCCUAUUUAGUCAUAGGUGUCCUCUAAUAAAUUAUUAUUUUUUUAGAUAUCUUUCAGCGAUGACACUUUUUUCAAUGUCUAUCAGCAAAUUAUACAAAUUUUGAGUGUUCUGUAGCAAAAUUUGUCUAACUUUUACAUAGUAUUCUAAUGAAAAGAAAUUAAAAUGGUCAUAUAGAGGGCCAUACAUAGCGAUAUUUGUCCUCAGCCAAGUGCUACUAACUGGCCACGAGGCCCACGACUAGAAAUGGCAAUGGAGCCCUGUUCACCGUUUCCCCGCGGUGAAUUCACCUAUUAGGUGACGGGGAUGGUUAAUAUGUAUUCACCAUGGAGUCUAAAAUGGUUACAAACCUCUCACCAUCAGGGAUGAGCGUCCCCGCCCCCGCGGUGACCCGACUUUACUGUACAGAUGACUAAUUCUAGACUUUUUAGAUGUUUUGGCCCAUAAUACAAAAGCCCAUUUAAUAGGCAUAUAUAAAAUCUAACCCUAAGUCAACAGGUCAAACUCCAAAUCCCCACCCAAAAUUCCAAAUCCUCCAGAUCCGCACGGCUGCAUGCUCGUGCCAGCCACCACCGUCAUCCGCUAAACCGCUAGGAGCCGCCGUCUCACCGCCGUGCACCGCUAGUCCGCCAGCCACCAGGCGCGCCGCGCUCGCUGCCAUCUCUCGCGCAGCGCGGGCGUCCGCCGCUGGGAGCCGCCGAGAGAUGCCAUGGACUGAAGCCGUCGUCGCCAGCAGCCUCCGUUGAUGCGCCGCCGAGCACGGCGCCUACAGUCGUCUUCACCGGGAGCCGCCGACAGCCUCCGUUGAUGCGCCGGUGGGCACGGCGCCUACAACCGUUUUCACCAGGAGCCGCCGGCAGCCUCUGUCGACGCGCCGCCGGGCGCGGCACCUACAACCGUCUUCACUCUUCACUAGGACUCUGGGAGCCACCGUCAUCAUGCCGCCGAGAGCUGCCAUCGACGUCCGCCAGCGCCCUCCGUCGUCACUUGCCCGCAGCCCUGCACGCCGUUCGCCGCCAGCACGCCAUCCACCGACCAUGGCUUCGGUCUCUCCCCAUAUGACUGUGAAUAUGUUGUUUAACUGGGGAUGGGUUCACCACGGGAAAAAUUCACCGCGUGGUGAUCGGGGCUGGAGAAAUUGUAGCCUCGUCGUGGUUGACGGGGGCGGGGACGGUGAAAAGAUUUGACCGCGGUGACAGAGACGCGGAUGUGACCCCUGACGGUGAAUUCACCGUUGCCAUCUCUACCCCCGACACAUAUAGAUCGACACGUGAUUCAGUAUAAACAUGGGUGUACACAUAUAUGUCUAUAGUUCUCUUUCCGGUCGAGAAGAAAACAACGUUUUGGAAAUUGAGACAGUCUAUAGACCAUUAUAUUGCAAAAUAUUUAAAACUUAAAAGAAACCUGAUGGAAUUCAGACAUCAUGAGAGCGCCCUUUGAGAUAAAUUAAUAUACAGAUAUGAGUUUUAUUCAUCUUACAUAAAAUAUUUGAAACAUAUUGUUCUCCGAAGAUUAUUAUUUUUUAUUUAUUGAAGCGUUUGCAAAACACAAUUAAUCAUAUAAACCUGGUUGGGGUCGUACCAGCUAGUGCAAAUCAAGGUGCACUUCUUCUUGUUUUUUUAUUUUUUUGAAACAUAUCAAGGUACGCUUCAACUUAUUUACCGUUUACUAAUAACCUGUGAAAUGUGGUGGUCAAGGUUCGAAGCAAAAAUUCUUCAUGUUGGGUCAAAUUACCUGGGUUUCUGUGUGGGCUGAACACUUUGGCCCCAUGGGCUAGAAUGCUGGACAAUCUAAUGGGCUAGUCGACCUAUCUGGCUCGAUCGGUAAGUUUAAUUUGUAGCCAUGGAUCAGCCAAGAUGUGAUCUAGCCCAUGGUUGAGUUUUUUUUUUCUUAUGCAUUUUAUUGAUUAUAGAUAACCAGACACAUAUCGCAUGAGUUAUCCUUAGUGAGAAGUCAACUGCAAGUACAAGCAGUUUUGCAUAAAGGCCUCUUGAAGAUGGCCAAAUUGACAUGAGCUCAUGAAAAUUGCUAUGGACGACUUCUAAAAAACUAGAAAAAGCAAUCAAAUCCUUCUCUUCUCCACCAGGUUGCAAGCUUGAUCCGUAGCGACGACGGUGAUGAAGAAACAAUGAGUAGUUGCUGAUGAAAGUGCAAGGAAGCAUACCCAAAAGAGGUCUCCGCUAACUUAUUACUCCAUCCGUCCUAAAAUAUAGAUAUUUUUUAGAUUGGUAUGAGUAUUAAGGAAGUAGGUGAGAAUGAUGGGUGGAUGUGCGUGAUUAGUUAAAAAGAGAAAGAAGGUGAAGAAGAAUGGUUAUGAUUGGUUGAGAGGAGGAGAUAGGAGGAGAAAUAGUUUUAUUUUAGGACAAGAGACACUGUGCUAGAAAUGGCUACAUUUUGGGACGGAGGUGAUAACUUCUCUAUGACGAAGGAAGCUUCCAUGAUAAAACAAUAAAAACUCAGCUUCCCUAAGAAGAUGCACGGUCGUUGAUGAAGGAGGCUUGCAUUGUGUUUAACUCGCCGGAGAUGAACAAAAUGGUCAGCGCAACAUUUUGUGAAGCAAACUUGCUUUACUUCUAGUUGGGGGCGUCCAUGGCAAAUCUAGAAACCAUUCCAUGGAUAGAUUUGGCCGGAUCCAUGGAAAAGAACUGGGAGAAGAGAAAUGUGACGCCGGUGAAACCUUGCACUAACAAAAGCACCAAAGAAAAAGAGAGAACAAAGAGGAAAAACACACUACGGUAAGAACCCAACUAUCUAGAUCUAGACCCCUUCCCCCAUUGUCGGUGAGGAAUUGAUGGAGGAAAUUAAAGGGUCCGAACGGAGAGAGAGGAAGAAGUCGCCAUUUUUUCGCCCGGAGAGAGGACACCAAGAGAGAGAGAAAGGCUCCUCCCGCUAUCGUAGUCUGAUACCCCUGCGGUUGAGUUUCAAUGGACAAUAUUGAUCACUAUGUCCAUGGGUUUGCAACCAAAUCUUUUUUGCAUCAAGGUGGUUCUUCCUCGAUGCCUCCGAUUCCCAUAGCCUUAUUGAAUUGCUCAUCAGGAGCUGCACUAUUGCAAAAUCAAUCGCAGUAUUCUACUCCCUUUAAUUGCCAGGAUAAAUAUUGUAGGAAGAGCGGAAGAAAGAUAUAACUUGUCCCCUUUUAUCCGGGCUAAAAACUACGUAUUUGGUCCGGGAAGAAAAUCAGCUAUAUAUAUUUAGUAGUCAUAUGAUGCUAGUAGAACUGCACAAUUCGACUUGCAACUUUGCAAGUGCGAGAGCAAGUGUGAGUGAUGAAGAGGUGGAACACAACCACCUCUACCUUGGUAUAUUAUAUGAUGAUAAUUAAUCUCUUGGUGAUUAAUCUAUUGGUAAAGAAAAGUGUAGUAAUGUAGUGCACUUACCAAGAAAUUAAAUAUUGUCAUUAAAUAUUGGCUAUAAUACUUAGCAAAAUACUCUCUCCAUUCCAAAAUAUAAGGCAAAACCACCCUUAACCCAAAGACCAAGAAAUAAUUAUUAUCAUCUUGUAGUUUGAAUCAUCCUAAUAAAUAUAAUGCAUGCAUCCAAUAGGAUUAG